rnacentral:rRNA from 1 species
UAGGGAAUCUUCGGCAAUGGACGAAAGUCUGACCGAGCAACGCCGCGUGAGUGAAGAAGGUUUUCGGAUCGUAAAACUCUGUUGUUAGAGAAGAACAAGGACGUUAGUAACUGAACGUCCCCUGACGGUAUCUAACCAGAAAGCCACGGCUAACUACGUGCCAGCAGCCGCGGUAAUACGUAGGUGGCAAGCGUUGUCCGGAUUUAUUGGGCGUAAAGCGAGCGCAGGCGGUUUCUUAAGUCUGAUGUGAAAGCCCACGGCUCAACCGGGGAGGGUCAUUGGAAACUGGGAGACUUGAGUGCAGAAGAGGAGAGUGGAAUUCCAUGUGUAGCGGUGAAAUGCGUAGAUAUAUGGAGGAACACCAGUGGCGAAGGCGGCUCUCUGGUCUGUAACUGACGCUGAGGCUCGAAAGCGUGGGGAGCAAACAGG